rnacentral:rRNA from 1 species
AGGCCGAAAGGCGUAGUCGAUGGGAAACAGGUUAAUAUUCCUGUACUUGGUGUUACUGCGAAGGGGGGACGGAGAAGGCUAUGUUAGCCGGGCGACGGUUGUCCCGGUUUAAGCAUGUAGGCUGAUUGUCCAGGCAAAUCCGGAUAAUCAAGGCUGAGGUGUGAUGACGAGGCACUACGGUGCUGAAGUAACAAAUGCCCUGCUUCCAGGAAAAGCCUCUAAGCAUCAGGUAACAUUAAAUCGUACCCCAAACCG